rnacentral:rRNA from 1 species
CUAAGUGCAUGUGGUGGAUGCCUUGGCGAUUACAGGCGACGAAGGACGUGAUAGCCUGCGAUAAGCUUCGGGGAGCUGGCAAAUUAGCUUUGAUCCGGAGAUUUCCGAAUGGGGAAACCCACCCUUAGGGGUAUCGCAUGAUGAAUACAUAGUCAUGCGAGGCGAACCGGGUGAACUGAAACAUCUCAGUAGCUCGAGGAAUAGACAUCAACCGAGAUUCCGAAAGUAGUGGCGAGCGAAAUCGGAACAGCCUGCACGUUUUAGCUAUCGACUUAUCAGAACGGAAUGGAAAGUCCGACCAUAGUGGGUGAUAGUCCCGUAUGAAAAAAGUUGGUAGUGGAACUAAGCGUGCGACAAGUAGGGCGGGACACGUGUAAUCCUGUCUGAAUAUGGGGGGACCAUCCUCCAAGGCUAAAUACUCGUAAUCGACCGAUAGUGAACUAGUACCGUGAGGGAAAGGCGAAAAGAACCCCGGGAGGGGAGUGAAAUAGAUCCUGAAACCGCAUGCAUACAAACAGUCGGAGCCCGCAAGGGUGACGGCGUACCUUUUGUAUAAUGGGUCAGCGACUUACAUUCAGUGGCAAGGUUAACCGAAUAGGGAAGCCGUAGAGAAAUCGAGUCCGAAUAGGGCGUUCAGUCGCUGGGUGUAGACCCGAAACCAAGUGAUCUAUCCAUGGCCAGGAUGAAGGUGCCGUAACAGGUACUGGAGGUCCGAACCGACUAGUGUUGCAAAACUAGCGGAUGAGCUGUGGAUAGGGGUGAAAGGCUAAACAAACUUGGAAAUAGCUGGUUCUCUCCGAAAACUAUUUAGGUAGUGCCUCAAGUAUUACCAUCGGGGGUAGAGCACUGUUAUGGCUAGGGGGUCAUGGCGACUUACCAAACCAUUGCAAACUCCGAAUACCGAUGAGUACAGCUUGGGAGACAGUGCACCGGGUGCUAACGUCCGGACACAAGAGGGAAACAACCCAGACCGCCAGCUAAGGUCCCCAAAAUUGGCUAAGUGGGAAACGAAGUGGGAAGGCUAAAACAGUCAGGAUGUUGGCUUAGAAGCAGCCAUCAUUUAAAGAAAGCGUAAUAGCUCACUGAUCGAGUCGUCCUGCGCGGAAGAUGUAACGGGGCUAAGCCAGUUACCGAAGCUGCGGAUGUGCAAUUUAUUGCACGUGGUAGGAGAGCGUUCUGUACGCCUGUGAAGGUGGCUUGUGAAGGCUGCUGGAGGUAUCAGAAGUGCGAAUGCUGACAUGAGUAGCGUUAAAGGGGGUGAAAAGCCCCCUCGCCGAAAGCGCAAGGUUUCCUACGCAACGUUCAUCGGCGUAGGGUGAGUCGGCCCCUAAGGCGAGGCAGAGAUGCGUAGCUGAUGGGAAACAGGUCAAUAUUCCUGUACCGAUAUGUAGUGCGAUGUGGGGACGGAGAAGGUUAACUCAGCCGGGUGUUGGAUGUCCCGGUUCAAGCGUGUAGUCAUACCCUUUAGGCAAAUCCGGAGGGUUUAGAUGAGGCGUGAUAACGAGGAGGCUUGCCUCUGAAGUGAGUGAUACCCUGCUUCCAGGAAAAGCCACUAAGCUUCAGCUACAUACGACCGUACCGCAAACCGACACUGGUGCGCGAGAUGAGUAUUCUAAGGCGCUUGAGAGAACUCUGGAGAAGGAACUCGGCAAAUUGACACCGUAACUUCGGAAGAAGGUGUGCCUUUAGUAGGUGAUCCAUUUACUUGGUGAGCCCAAUAAGGCCGCAGAGAAUCGGUGGCUGCAACUGUUUAUUAAAAACACAGCACUCUGCAAAGACGAAAGUCGACGUAUAGGGUGUGACUCCUGCCCGGUGCUGGAAGAUUAAAUGAUGGGGUGCAAGCUCUUGACUGAAGUCCCAGUAAACGGCGGCCGUAACUAUAACGGUCCUAAGGUAGCGAAAUUCCUUGUCGGGUAAGUUCCGACCUGCACGAAUGGAGUAAUGAUGGCCACACUGUCUCCUCCAGAGACUCAGCGAAGUUGAAAUGUUUGUGAUGAUGCAAUCUCCCCGCGGAAAGACGGAAAGACCCCAUGAACCUUUACUGUAGCUUUACAUUGGACUUUGAACAGAUCUGUGUAGGAUAGGUGGGAGGCUUUGAAGCGGUGCCGCUAGGUGUCGUGGAGCCAACGUUGAAAUACCACCCUGGUGUGUUUGAGGUUCUAACCUUGGCCCGUUAUCCGGGUUGGGGACAGUGUAUGGUGGGCAGUUUGACUGGGGCGGUCUCCUCCCAAAGCGUAACGGAGGAGUUCGAAGGUACGCUAGGCACGGUCGGAAAUCGUGCUGAUAGUGCAUUGGCAUAAGCGUGCUUGACUGCGAGACUGACAAGUCGAGCAGGUACGAAAGUAGGACAAAGUGAUCCGGUGGUUCUGUAUGGAAGGGCCAUCGCUCAACGGAUAAAAGGUACUCUGGGGAUAACAGGCUGAUACCGCCCAAGAGUUCAUAUCGACGGCGGUGUUUGGCACCUCGAUGUCGGCUCAUCUCAUCCUGGGGCUGUAGCCGGUCCCAAGGGUAUGGCUGUUCGCCAUUUAAAGAGGUACGUGAGCUGGGUUUAAAACGUCGUGAGACAGUUUGGUCCCUAUCUUCCGUGGGCGCUGCAAGAUUGAGAGAGCCUGCUCCUAGUACGAGAGGACCGGAGUGGACGCACCUCUGGUGUAUCGGUUGUCACGCCAGUGGCAUCGCCGAGUAGCUAUGUGCGGAAGAGAUAACCGCUGAAAGCAUCUAAGCGGGAAACUCGUCUCAAGAUUAGUCUUGCCGGGGCCUUGAGCCCCCUAAAGAGUCGUUCGAGACCAGGACGUUGAUAGGCUGGGUGUGGAAGCUGAGUAAUCAGUUAAGCUAACCAGUACUAAUUGCUCGUGAGGCUUGACC